rnacentral:rRNA from 1 species
CUGAUAAAUUAUUUAAUGGCCGCAGUAUUUUAACUGUGCAAAGGUAGCAUAAUAAUUAGUCUUUUAAUUGAAGGCUUGUAUGAAUGAUUGGACGAGAUAUAAACUGUCUCAUAAAAAUUUUUUUUAGAACUUAAUUUUUUAGUUAAAAAGCUAAAAUAAAUUUAAAAGACGAGAAGACCCCAUAGAUCUUUAUAUUUUUUUUUUUUUAUUAUUUUUUAGUUUUUUUAUAAAUUAAUAAAUAAAAAUAUUUUGUUGGGGUGACAUUGAAAUUUAAUAAACUUUCAAAAUUUAAUAACAUUGAUUUAUGAAUUUAUGAUCCUUUAUUAUUGAUUAAAAAUUUAAGUUACCUUGGGGAUAACAGCGUAAUUAUUUUGGAGAGUUCAUAUUGAUAAAAUAGAUUGCGACCUCGAUGUUGGAUUAAGAUUAAUUUUGAAUGUAGC